UGAGGGUUCGGCCCUCGGCAGACGGCUCAGUAACACGUAGAUAAUUUGCCCUUAGGUGGAGGAUACCCUCGGGAAACUUAGAAUAAUACUCCAUAGAUCUAGACUGCUGGAAUGCUUUUAGAUUGAAAGAUUUAUCGCCUAAGGAUAAGUCUGCGGACUAUCAGGUUGUAGUCAGGGUAACUACCUGACUAGCCUACGACGGAUACGGGUAGUGAGAGCUUUAGCCCGGAGAUGAUAUCUGAGACACGAUAUCAGGCCCUACGGGGCGCAGCAGGCGCGAAAACUUCGCACUGUGCGAAAGCACGACGAGGGAAUCCCAAGUGCUGGCUCGUAAGAGUCAGCUGUUUCUCUGUCUAAAAAACAGAGAGAGUAAGGGCUGGGUAAGACGGGUGCCAGCCGCCGCGGUAAUACCUGCAGCUCAAGUGGUGGCCGCUAUUAUUGGGCCUAAAACGUCCGUAGCCGGUUCUAUAAAUGCCUGGGUAAAUCGUACGGCUUAACCGUACGAAUUCCGGGUAGACUGUUUAACUUGGGACCGGGAGAGGCUAGAGGUACUCCUGGGGUAGAGGUGAAAUUCUGUAAUCCUAGGGGGACCACCAGUGGCGAAGGCGUCUAGCUAGAACGGGUCUGACGGUGAGGGACGAAGCCCUGGGGAGCAAACGGGAUUAGAUACCCCGGUAGUCCAGGGUGUAAACGCUGCUCGCUUGAUGUUAGUCGGGCUCCGAGCCCAACUAGUGUCGGAGAGAAGUUGUUAAGCGAGCUGCCUGGGGAGUACGGUCGCAAGACUGGAACUUAAAGGAAUUGGCGGGUGAGCACCGCAACGGGUGGAGCGUGCGGUUUAAUUGGAUUCAA
rnacentral:rRNA from 1 species